rnacentral:rRNA from 1 species
AUCCUUCGGGGUGAGUGGCAGACGGGUGAGUAACGCGUGGGAACGUGCCCUUCAGUUCGGAAUAACCCAGGGAAACUUGGGCUAAUACCGGAUACGUGCGAGAGCAGAAAGAUUUAUCGCUGAAGGAUCGGCCCGCGUCUGAUUAGCUUGUUGGUGGGGUAAUGGCCCACCAAGGCGACGAUCAGUAGCUGGUCUGAGAGGAUGAUCAGCCACAUUGGGACUGAGACACGGCCCAAACUCCUACGGGAGGCAGCAGUGGGGAAUAUUGGACAAUGGGCGCAAGCCUGAUCCAGCCAUGCCGCGUGAGUGAUGAAGGCCUUAGGGUUGUAAAGCUCUUUCAGCGGGGACGAUAAUGACGGUACCCGCAGAAGAAGCCCCGGCUAACUUCGUGCCAGCAGCCGCGGUAAUACGAAGGGGGCUAGCGUUGUUCGGAAUCACUGGGCGUAAAGGGCGCGUAGGCGGCUUUGUAAGUCGGGGGUGAAAGCCUGUGGCUCAACCACAGAAUUGCCUUCGAUACUGCAUGGCUUGAGACCGGAAGAGGUUAGUGGAACUGCGAGUGUAGAGGUGAAAUUCGUAGAUAUUCGCAAGAACACCAGUGGCGAAGGCGGCUGACUGGUCCGGUUCUGACGCUGAGGCGCGAAAGCGUGGGGAGCAAACAGGAUUAGAUACCCUGGUAGUCCACGCCGUAACGAUGAAUGCCAGCCGUUGGCGAGCUUGCUCGUCAGUGGCGCAGCUAACGCUUUAAGCAUUCCGCCUGGGGAGUACGGUCGCAAGAUUAAAACUCAAAGGAAUUGACGGGGGCCCGCACAAGCGGUGGAGCAUGUGGUUUAAUUC